AAAAGCUUUAGAGUAGAAAACCAUUCUGAAAAAUCUUCAACAGCUUUAGAGACCUUGUGAUAUGCUUGUUUUACUAAGUUUUGUUAAAAGUGGGAGUUUUGAGGAGUUGGUAUAGAUGAUUGAAAAGGUAGGUCAGCUCUUCUGGCUCAGCCUGGGCUUCCUGUCUCUCAGCUCUGCUUUUUUUUUCACAGAAAGAUAUUUAUCUUGGAGGAUGAGCCUGUAGCUCUUGAGUUUUAUCCCACUAUUUUACAAUCCCAACUUAAAGCUGCUAACAAGGAUUGUUUGUGGUAUAAGAAAGAAUGGGUGUUGGCUGUUUCUGUGGAGGUGUAUAAAAUAGACCAGAAUAUGGCUAGGAGGAUCUACCUGGUCUGUUGUCUGAUUGAUUGUUCUGAAGUAAUAUACUUGAGCAGGCUCUGUAGUUCUUUCUUAUUUUUAUUUUAUGCACAUUGGUGUUUUGUAUGAAUGUAUGAGGGUGUCAGGUCCUCUGGAGCAGGAAUCACAGACAGUUGUGAGCCACCAUGUGGUUGCUGGGAAUUGAACCCAGGUCUUCUGGGAGAGCAGCCAGUGUUCUUAAACGCUGAGCCAUCUCUCCAGCCAUGACUAUGUAGAUUUUUUUUUUUUUUUUUUUUUUUUGGUUUGAGACAGGGUUUCUCUGUAUAGCCCUGGCUGUCCUGGAACUCACUUUGUAGACCAGGCUGGCCUUGAACUCAGAAAUUCUCCUGCCUCUGCCUCCCAAGUGCUGGGAUUAAAGGUGUGCGCCACCACUCCCCGCUGACUAUGUAGUUCUCAACUAUGGAUGCUGACUGGAUGAGGAAGACUGGAAACCUUCACCUCUUGUGCAUUUUCAUAGGUCUUGGUAAACUCAAACCUUUUGCAAAGUCUGUAAAACUCUACAUAGAGGCAGCCUCCUAACAGACAAGAAAGCAUUUCUCUGUGUUUGCCUCUGCAAUGUUGUUAGUGUUAACUGCUUUAACUGCUUUGGUUUUUUGAGUCAGGGUCUCUUUAUGUGUCCUGGGCUCAUUAUGUAUACCAGGCUGGCCUAGAACUCAGAAAAAUACUCCUGCCACUGCCUCUCAAGAAGUGGUAUUAAAAGCAGCCUGGCACUUAAACAGACUUAUAGCUUAGAUUGUUUCUGUCAUCUUCUACAGAAAGUAAAUGGAAUGAUAAAAAUUAGGAAUGCUUUCAAUCUACACCUUUCUCUGUUUCUUUUUUUUAAUAUUUUUCACACAGUAUAUUCUGAUCAUGGUUUCCCCUCCUUCAUCUCCUCCCAGAUCAUCCCACCCAUCAAAUUCUGUGCCUUAUUUCUCUCUUUCUUUAAAAAACAAACAGGCUUUCUCGUUCUUAUCUCACAGAAUUCUCAAAUGUAGGAUAACAUACAUAGAGCCAGCAGUUAAGCUCUGAAUGGGUUCUGUGUUUGUCUCUCUAGGUUUUUGCAACAGAUUGAGUUUCGAAAGGUGUCUACAUUAACAUCUAUAGCUUGUGGAAAUGUAGGGUAAUGAAGAUGGAACCCGCAAGUGGCUUUGGCCUUCUUUCUUUUUGGGGAUGGGCAAGGUCGGCAUGGGUGUCUUGGUCUAUCCCUUCAUUAAAUAGCACCAUCACUUUCCUUGUGAGCUAGCACAAUUGAAGCAUUACUUAAAAUUCAAAACAGCCAGCACUGGAUGUUGUGAUCAAACUUGUAAUGCUAGAACUCAGGAGACUCGGGCAAAAGAAUUAUAAGUUCAGGGUCAUUCAGGACCUUGCCUC
rnacentral:lncRNA from 1 species